GUUCGGAGAUGAUAAGAAAAUUCAAAGAAAUUAUCAAAGGCAUCAGCUCUGCUGAGAAUCUAUUUUGCACGUCAGUCUGAUCCCAAA